UCUUCAUUGAUUCCCAUCAUCCACGAUCUCCAUUUAUUGCAUGUUUCGCUCUUGCAAGGCGGUGGGGAAAUCUCUGUAUAAAUAGGUCAGAACUCUGUUCUCUUGAAAUCAUCCUGACGACCUAUUAAUAUAUAUAUAUAUCCUUUGUUUUCUUGAGAUCCUGAUAGUAGUGUUGUUAUUCUUCUGGCGAUCUCAAAUAUGGACGUUGCUCAUCCACCGUGGAGGUGCUGCUUUUCUGGUUUUGGGAAACCAGAAAUCAUGGGAAUAUAUAUGCUUCUUCUGGAUUCUAAGGCGACGCUCAUGCCCGUGAACCGUCUUCCCACCUACCAGCGACACUUGAAGGGAUGUGGAGGCUAAGAUUGUGGAUCCGGAUACGGGUGUUGUCUAGGGGGUUGAUCAGACUGGCAUGGCGAGCUCUGGUUCCAGAGUCCUACCGUGAUGAAAGGUUAUUUCAAGAACGAAGAAGCUACUGCUUUUACUAUUGAUUCAAAAGGAUGGUUGAGACUGGAGUUUUGUGUUACAUUGACAGUGAAGGUUUUGUCUUUGUUGUUGAUACUCGAUAGAUUAAAGGAGCUAAUCUACUGCAAUGCUUUUUUCUUUCUUUUAUCUACUGUAAUGCUUUU